ACGGGUGAGGAACACGUAGGAAUCUACCCUCGAGCGGGGGACAACCAAGGGAAACUUUGGCUAAUACCGCAUAAACUCGAGAGAGUAAAGUUGCCGCAAGGUGACACUCGAGGAGGAGCCUGCGUCCGAUUAGCUAGUUGGUAGGGUAAAAGCCUACCAAGGCGAUGAUCGGUAACUGGUCUGAGAGGACGGCCAGUCACACUGGGACUGAGACACGGCCCAGACUCCUACGGGAGGCAGCAGUGGGGAAUAUUGGACAAUGGGGGCAACCCUGAUCCAGCGAUGCCGCGUGGGUGAAGAAGGCCUUCGGGUUGUAAAGCCCUUUAGGUUGGGAAGAAGGGUGUAGGAGGAUAAUUCCUAUACUUUGACUGUACCGACAGAAUAAGCACCGGCAAACUCUGUGCCAGCAGCCGCGGUAAUACAGAGGGUGCGAGCGUUAAUCGGAAUUACUGGGCGUAAAGGGCGCGUAGGCGGUUGUAUGUGUGUGAUGUGAAAGCCCCGGGCUUAACCUGGGAAGAGCAUCGCAAACUAUACGACUGGAGUAUAUGAGAGGGUGGCGGAAUUUCCGGUGUAGCG
rnacentral:rRNA from 1 species